UAUUGUUUCACUUUAAAAUUAAAAUCUAUUUCUUACUUACGUUGGCUAAAUUCUAAAUUUCAGCAAGGUUAGAAAUGCAUGCCUAUUUCGCUGACUCUUUUGUUAGAAAUGUGUGGGGAGUGGUGCUUGUGGAUGUGCAUUAAAACAUCUUUGAACUAUCUGAUGCAUUUUGUGAAGCAAUAAGAAAGUUCAAAUAUUGGUGAAUUGAUUGAAAUUUCAGUCUCUGAAACUUUUUAAUCUUGAGGUCAUCCAUUUCCCUAUUAAAUGAGCAGAUAUUUGUCUUUCAGUCAUUUAAUCAUUUUGUCUGGUUAUAUACAUGGGAGUAGAAUUUAGGCUCUUUGCUUUUUGUUCCCAGUGAUACUAUGGAUUGAUUUCUCAGCAUGCGUGUGGCAAUAAUUAUAGGUUCUGCUUUUUUGUUUACAUUAAUUUUUUACUUUCAGGACAAUGGUCUUGUACCCAU
rnacentral:misc_RNA from 1 species